rnacentral:misc_RNA from 1 species
GAUGAAGAACGCAGCGAAAUGCGAUAAGUAAUGUGAAUUGCAGAAUUCAGUGAAUCAUCGAAUCUUUGAACGCACAUUGCGCCCCUUGGUAUUCCGAGGGGCAUGCCUGUUCGAGCGUCAUUAUAACCCCUCAAGCUCAGCUUGGUGUUGGGGCCUGCUGCACUGGCAGCCCUUAAAAUCAGUGGCGGCGCCAUCUGGCUCUAAGCGUAGUAAUUCUUCUCGCUAUGGAGUCCUGGUGGAUGCUUGCCAUCAACCCCCAAUUUUUCUAUGGUUGACCUCGGAUCAGGUAGGGAUACCCGCUGAACUUAAGCAUAUCAAUAAGCGGAGGAU